GAUGAAGAACGCAGCGAAUUGCGAUACGUAAUGUGAAUUGCAGAAUUCAGUGAAUCAUCGAAUCUUUGAACGCAUAUUGCGCUCUCUGGUAUUCCGGAGAGCAUGCUUGUUUGAGUAUCAGUAAACACCUCAACUUCCAUAUCUUUUUUGAAAUGGGAGUUGGACUUGAGUGAUCCCAACGCUUUUCCUCACCGAAAAGUGGCGGGUUACUUGAAAUGCAGGUGCAGCUGGACUUUUCUCUGAGCGAUAAGCAUAUCUAUUUAGUCUGCCUAAAAAACAGAUUAUUACCUUUGCUGCAGCUAACAUAAAGGAGAUUAGUUCUUGUGCUGACUGAUGCAGGAUUCACAAAGACAGGCUUCGGCCGACUUUGUAAACUCGAUCUCAAAUCAAGUAAGACUACCCGCUGAACUUAAGCAUAUCAAUAAGCGGAGGA
rnacentral:misc_RNA from 1 species